GACGAACGCUGGCGGCGGGCUUAACACAUGCAAGUCGAACGGAAAGGCCCUGCUUUUGUGGGGUGCUCGAGUGGCGAGCGGGUGAGUAACACGUGAGUCACCUGCCCUUGACUGUGUGAUAACUUCAGAAGACUGGGGAUACUACAGGAUAGGAGCUCCUGCUGCAUGGUGGGGGUUGGAAAGUUUCGGCGGUGGGGGAUGGACUCGCGGCUGACGAGCUGGUGGGGGGGGGAGUGGCCUACCAAGGCGUUGAGGAGUAGCUGGGCUGAGAGGUUGACCGGUCACACGGGAAAUGAGACACGGUCCAGACGACUAAGGGAGGGAGGAGGGGGGAAUAGUGGACAAAGGGCGGAAGCCGGAUCCAGCCAUGCGGAGUGUGGGAAGAAGGUCUUCGGAGGUUAAAGCACUGUAAGUUGGGAGGAAGGGCAGUAAGUUAAUACCUUGCUGUUUUGACGGUACCAACAGAAUAAGCACCGGCUAACUUCGUG
rnacentral:rRNA from 1 species